GUACCGUGAGGGAAAGGCGAAAAGAACCCCGGCGAGGGGAGUGAAAAAGAACCUGAAACCGUGUACGUACAAGCAGUGGGAGCACAGGUUUACCUGUGUGACUGCGUACCUUUUGUAUAAUGGGUCAGCGACUUAUAUUCUGUAGCAAGGUUAACCGAAUAGGGGAGCCGGAGGGAAACCGAGUCUUAAUUGGGCGUUAAGUUGCAGGGUAUAGACCCGAAACCCGGUGAUCUAGCCAUGGGCAGGUUGAAGGUUGGGUAACACUAACUGGAGGACCGAACCGACUAAUGUUGAAAAAUUAGCGGAUGACCUGUGGCUGGGGGUGAAAGGCCAAUCAAACCGGGAGAUAGCUGGUUCUCCCCGAAAGCUAUUUAGGUAGCGCCUCGUGAAUUCAUCUCCGGGGGUAGAGCACUGUUUCGGCUAGGGGGCCAUCCCGGCUUACCAACCCGAUGCAAACUGCGAAUACCGGAGAAUGUUAUCACGGGAGACACACGGCGGGUGCUAACGUCCGUCGUGAAGAGGGAAACAACCCAGACCGCCAGCUAAGGUCCCAAAGUCAUGGUUAAGUGGGAAACGAUGUGGGAAGGCCCAGACAGCCAGGAUGUUGGCUUAGAAGCAGCCAUCAUUUAAAGAAAGCGUAAUAGCUCACUGGUCGAGUCGGCCUGCGCGGAAGAUGUAACGGGGCUAAACCAU
rnacentral:rRNA from 1 species